GAUGAACGCUGGCGGCGUGCCUAAUAAAGGCAAGUGGAGGGAACAGACGAGGAGUUUGCUCCUCUGACGUAAGCGGCGGAGGGGGGAGUAAAAGGUGGAUAACCAACUUUUAAAACUGGGAAAACUUCGGGAAACGGGAGUUAAAACCGGUUAACAGUUGGAACGGAAGGGUUAAAAAGGAAAAGAGGGUCUUGCUGUAACUAUUGGAGGGAUCCCCGCCGAUUUAGCUAGUUGGUAAGGUAACGGCUUACCAAGGAAACGAUGCGUAGCCGACCUGAGAGGGUGAUCGGCCACACUGGAACUGAGACACGGUCCAGACUCCUACGGGAGGCAGCAGUAGGGAAUCUUCCGCAAUGGGCGAAAUCCUGACGGAGCAACGCCGCGUGAGUGAAGAAGGUCUUCGGAUCGUAAAACUCUGUUAUUAGGGAAGAACAAAUGUGUAAGUAACUAUGCACGUCUUGACGGUACCUAAUCAGAAAGCCACGGCUAACUACGUG
rnacentral:rRNA from 1 species